rnacentral:tRNA from 1 species
GGAGAGGUGGCUGAGUGGUCGAAGGCGGCGGUCUCGAAAACCGUUGAACGGCUUGCCGUUCCGAGGGUUCGAAUCCCUCCCUCUCCGCCA